rnacentral:snRNA from 1 species
AUCGCUUCUCGCCUUUUCAGGCUUAGAUCGAAGUGUAGUAUCUGUUCUCGUCGGUUUUAAAGUCGGUGCCGUCUUACGAGACUGGUGUGAGUUGCUUGUGGGUGUGAGUUUGAAAAAAGAGGAGAUACCCAGACGCACACCCUCAAGAUGGGAAAAUGUAAUAAUAUCUGUCCUUUAUUCUUU